UAGUUGCAAGGUAUAGACCCGAAACCCGGUGAUCUAGCCAUGGGCAGGUUGAAGGUUGGGUAACACUAACUGGAGGACCGAACCGACUAAUGUUGAAAAAUUAGCGGAUGACUUGUGGCUGGGGGUGAAAGGCCAAUCAAACCGGGAGAUAGCUGGUUCUCCCCGAAAGCUAUUUAGGUAGCGCCUCGUGAACUCAUCUUCGGGGGUAGAGCACUGUUUCGGCUAGGGGGCCAUCCCGGCUUACCAAACCGAUGCAAACUCCGAAUACCGAAGAAUGUUAUCACGGGAGACACACGGCGGGUGCUAACGUCCGUCGUGAAGAGGGAAACAACCCAGACCGCCAGCUAAGGUCCCAAAGUCAUGGUUAAGUGGGAAACGAUGUGGGAAGGCAUAGACAGCCAGGAUGUUGGCUUAGAAGCAGCCAUCAUUUAAAGAAAGCGUAAUAGCUCACUGGUCGAGUCGGCCUGCGCGGAAGAUGUAACGGGGCUAAACCAUGCACCGAAGCUGCGGCAGCGACGCUUAGCGUUGUUGGGUAGGGGAGCGUUCUGUAAGCCGUUGAAGGUGGCCUGUGAGGGUUGCUGGAGGUAUCAGAAGUGCGAAUGCUGACAUAAGUAACGAUAAAGCGGGUGAAAAGCCCGCUCGCCGGAAGACCAAGGGUUCCUGUCCAACGUUAAUCGGGGCAGGGUGAGUCGACCCCUAAGGCGAGGCUGAAAAGCGUAGUCGAUGGGAAACAGGUUAAUAUUCCUGUACUUGGUGUUACUGCGAAGGGGGGACGGAGAAGGCUAGGCU
rnacentral:rRNA from 1 species